rnacentral:rRNA from 1 species
CCUACGGGCGGCAGCAGUGAGGAAUAUUGGUCAAUGGCCGAAAGGCUGAACCAGCCAAGUAGCGUGCAGGAUGACGGCCCUACGGGUUGUAAACCGCUUUUGUACGGGAGCAACGCGCCUCACGUGUAGCUCAUUGCGAGUACCCGAUGAAAAAGCAUCGGCUAACUCCGUGCCAGCAGCCGCGGUAAUACGGAGGGUGCGGGCGUUAUCCGGAUUUAUUGGGUUUAAAGGGUGCGCAGGCGGCAGUGCAAGUGUGCGAUAAAAUGGCGGGGCUCAACCCCGUCCUGCCGUGGAAACUGCAGCGCUUGAGUCCGCGAGAAGCAUGCGGAAUGCGUGGUGUAGCGGUGAAAUGCUUAGAUAUGACGCAGAACCCCGAUUGCGAAGGCAGCAUGCCGGAGCGGAACUGACGCUCAUGCACGAAAGCGUGGGUAUCGAACAGGAUUAGAUACCCGAGUAGUC